CUGUUGUAGGCACAAGCUACCCAAGUUAGAAAUCCUAGAAUAGUUAGGAUGAACAACUUCUUAGUCAAAUAAACCAUCAAUCCUUCAUUUUGUACGCUUCUGCAGGAGGAAAGGGCUGUAAGUGACAGAAAAAAAAGAAGUUCAGGCAAAGUAAUUGAGCUCCUUAGAGUCAGAGACCAGAUUUAUUUCAGCUGCACACCAUGUAAAAUUAAGGUAAAAACCCAACACCUCAUCAAAGGCUGUGUGGAAGAUGGUGCCCCAUAUUAUUCCUAGACAGAAAUGGUAGCUGGAGUUAUGUGUGUAUUGAAUGAGCUAUGAAAUGAACUUGGAAAAUCUGACCUGUGAGAUUAUAGUCAGCAGUGAUCUGCUGCCAAGCAGCUUAUUCUUAUUUAUUCCACUAAAGUCAACCUUGCUGACACAAGCUUUUUAUAAAGGCGAUCUGCUUUGUGCGUGCCUGUCCCGUUACUAGGUUACUGGAGAAUGAAGUAUUGCUUUUUUGCAAACCCCUGUUCUAGCUUUUGGAAGUCCGGUCUCAUAAAUCUGUUGUAGAACUGACUUAUUUGCAUCUUGGAUUUCUAUUUACUUACUCCUAGCCUUUCCCAGCCAUUCUUUUUCACAUUUUGAUGAACUCCUCUUUCCUCCUUUCCCAAGCCCUGCCAUAAGAUAAAUAGAGGAUUCAGAGUAUUUGGUUUUGGCCAGUGCCAAGGUUUGCGUUCUCGGCAGCAUGCUGAUCAUGGCUGCAAUUCCUGGCUUGCAGGGGCUUGGGAUCCAGUUACAUUUGCUGGCGUCAAGCAGACUCUACAGACCACUGUGAAAUACUGAAUCUAAAAAUAAAAGAGUUAAAAAGUAUGAAACCAAAGAAAGUGGAAUACUAAAAUCCCAAGAAAACUGUAGAAAAGUUUGGAAGAAACACAUUAGCUUUCUCAGGGGAAAACAGUAACACGUUGGGGGCAGUUUAAACGAAGCCUAUAGGUUUGCCUUUUUUUAGCUUCAUCACCCAUGUGACGCUCAAGAGUUCAGCGUGUGGGUCCAGGUAUUUCUGCCAACACAAAGAAUUCAUUACAGCCUUUUGGAAAGGCGCAUCAUUCUGACUGUCUCAGCUUAUUCCCUUCGCUCUCCCCAAGAGCUGUUAACCCCAGGUACACUUUGAUUCUCUUUACGCACAUCCUCGCAGAUGGGAUCCUUUCUCAGUCUUUGGAUUUCUCCUUCGGAUCAAAACCACUGCUGAUGGAGCCAGUGGGCUGCCGGGUGUGGGAAGAAUUUUCAGGCUCUGCACAUCAGGCUUGCAGCUUAAUAACUGAUUAAGUGCACCUUGCAGUGAGAGUACAAAGGAAUGAAGUAUAUUGCUGUAUUCUGGCAUGCAAGUCAUCAAGUUAGUGCACCUGACUGAGUGCGACUUGAGGCAGAGCUUCUGUGAGGACUCAUAGACAUUAUGAAACAGUCAGAAGGCCAAGCCAGGAUGGGAACCCCACUGAGCCAUGCACUGUGCACACACGCAUACAAGAAACUUCAUUUUCUUGCUCUUUGGACUGCUGGGAUCCCAUAAUAACUCAUCAAACUAUUGCUCAACUAUAGAACAAAUCCUUUGAAGCUUCUGUAUAAUAAAAACGAGUGCAUAGGUUGAAUUUCUCAUUGGAACAGAAAACAGUCACCCUCACCUCUGAAUGAUUUAGUUGUUUGUUUUCCUGGAUAGUCCGAGGUUUGAUACUUUUCAGUCCUUUAUUUGUAAUUAAUUUUAUGGAUGUAACAACCAUGUAUAUCCUCUGAUGGAAAAAAAAAUGGCAAGCAUUUUGGUAACUGUCCACCACGGGACAAUUUCUGACAGCAGGUCAGGAGUUGCAAGAAUAAGCAAUGAUAUCCUCCGUGAAGAAAGCUUGUAUCGGUCAGUACAGCAGGCACACAGGAAAGUCUGGAGCUUCUUCCAGACUCCUCAUUUCUUCAGCUGCCACAGAAUCCUACCUUCUCUUAACUCCCUGAAUCUUGUUCUGUAUGUUAAGGUUCUUGUGAAAUCCUUCCUUUCACAGUUCCAUAAAAAUAAGCUAUUAUAUGCCUAUUAUGAAAGCCUACCCUCCCUUGUCUAGUAACUGAAACAGGUCAAGACAAAAGGUAAGGGAUGUAAAAUACCAAUUCCACUCUUCCAGAACAGAGGGCUGAGGCAGAGACUAGGUAAAUAGUUCAAGGACACAGCUUCCACCAUUGGUGAGGGAACCUAAACAGAGUCACUGAAGCUCACAGGAAGCUACAGGAGCCAUAGAGGAAGAGACAAGCGGACUUUCGUACCAGAUUCAAUUUCAUGGUAGGUCAGAAUGCUGUCAAAAUAAGCUGACAUUCAGGAGAGGCAGAAAGAUAGAAGUUCUGCAGGAAAGUCAGGAUACACAAAAAAGAAUCAUGGAAACCUAAAAGAUGCAUAGCACAGAUCCUGAUCUGCUUAAGUACACUGAGGAAACAAAGUGAUAGAAAUAAGAGUGGGCUUUUUUCCUUUUCUCUGAUGUACCUUCCAAGUAAAGAGUGAAUGUGUUAAAAGUCACAUGUAAUGUCUGGGCCCUGUGUUUGGCCAUUAUUAGGUCUCUGAAAAUGCAAACAGUGACCAUGGGGUAUGCUCUAGGCAACAUGCAGAAGUUCCUUGAGUGGUUUCAUGGAGAUGUUUUAAGUUUCAGGGAUUGGACAUUUAAACCCUCACCAUGAGAAAAGACAACAGGCACAACAUUGGCCCCCUGCAGAUCAUGCAGAAGCUGAUGCUGUUUGUUAUUAGUUUGCUAGGGACUGCAAAUGAACAAGUAACUCAGCCUCUAAGUAAAUCUGGUGAAUAUCCAGCAAGGGGAACUUUUAUCAUUCUUCAAGAUAUCAGCAGACACAUCCUUAACCAAAGCUAUCAACUCAUUACAUUUGAAACACUUGCUUAAAAGAUUGGGCACGCUGCAGCUUCAAAGAAAUGGGUGGAAAAUACUUUACAUAGUAAAGAUUAUUUUUUUUUUCCUUGAGAAAUUGAUUGACUGUUGGUAUUUUAUGUGGACACCCACAGCCACAAAAUCACCUUAGGGCAGAGACUCAGCACAAAAAUUUACAGCGCAAGCAAUCUGUUGGCAAACUAACAAACAAUAGAAAUCAGAAUUUUAUGCUUGGAAACAUCAAGCAGGCAUGGUUAUCCAUACUGCUCAGAUGUGUAGUGCAUAUCACGUGUCAUGUUCUCAGAUAGCUUUAAAAUCUAGCUUAUUAUCUCCGCAUGCUUCACGUAACUCCAUCUAUUAUUCUACACUUCUUUUUGUUGCUGUUGUAUGCAGCCAUCAACAUUUCACAGAAGUUAGUUAAGCUGUUGUUCACCGUGUUGCCUAACAUCCCCCACGUGUCUUUGCAUGCGUUUGCACUACUGUCUGCAGCAGGUGCUAGCCAAACCAGCACUGAGAACAAUGCAGAUGUCUGCCCAGACUGGAGUGCGCUACCAAAAUUCUUUGGUCAUUGGAUGGUCAUAGAAACAUCAGUAAUUUGAGAUCUGCAGUGUUGAGCAGUGUUCAGUGACCUCUACACUAACGCUGCCGCUUUGCCUGUUGCUGUAUUUUAGGCCCACAUAACCAGCAUGAUGGAAUUAGGACUACUUCUCUCAAGAUCCAGUUCACAACUCACUUUUGCAGGUUUCUGGAGUCACUGCUGCAGAGCUCAUUUUGUGCAGCGUCAAUUUUUUUGGCCUUGUUUUAAAUAAUGAUUGCUGGAGCAAGAAUAUGUUGCAUCUGAAUAUUGGUGAGGCAGGAAUGCAGCCAGAACAACCAAGGAGCGAAAGUUUUAGGCAGCUUUCCAUAUCUACAAUAAAGCUCAAAUCUCUAGCAAAAUUAUCUAAGGAAUUCAGGCUGAGAACAAAUGAAAAAGAAAUGACACAGAUAUGGCUGUACUGUAGCUGAAAGAAAGGCUCGUGAUUUGGGACAAGGUUUCCAGCACAGUUAUAUCACUGCAUUGCUUUUAUUCCUGAAAAAAACCUGAGUCAACAUAGUGCCAGCAGCAGCUGCCUUCCUAUUCUCACUCUCUGGCAGUCUGGGUAAGGGAGUCUUAUCUUGAAGAGUCUGAUCUGAAGGCAUUGCCCACCAUCACCCAUUCAAGAGCUCCAUGAAAUAAUUAUGAUUCUCUACCCAGGGGUCAAAAUGUUGCACAUACUCCCACCCAGUAUUUUAAUUAUUUGGUGCCUCAGCUAUGUUAUAAAUUGUAAGAAUAUAUAAGGAUAUCUGUGUUUCCUAUUACAGUAUCAUCUCACAGGGCAAACAUCUCAAAAGCUGUGGCUAUUUCAGCUUUAAUAGUGCCUGGCCAACAUAUGAUGUACAGUGGUUGGUUUCUGAGUUUUUUAUUUUUUUCUUUAGUUAGGGAAUUAGUAUGGUUCCUUUUUCUGCCUGCAGUUGCUGACUUCCAAGAAACUAAUUAUUUUUAAGACCUUGGCUCAUGUGUCAAAUAUGCACGUUAUUUGGAGUGAGAGAUAAACCGAACCAUUACAUAAGCUUCCUUUCCUUAGGAAAGCAAGCUCAUAAAGAUUGUUCCAUGAAAUCCCCACACCCAAAUGACUGGAAGUGCAUUUUUUUCACAAACACAGACCCAAGCCAAACAAUAACCCUCAGAAUCCCUUAGCCCAGUGUCCUUUUUCUUGGCAGUGAUACGUGCUUGUGUUUCAGACUGAAGCACAUAUUGUUUGGCAUCUGCUUCAAGGAAGGCACUUACAAGAUUUUCAUAUUAACGUCAAGCUACAUUUCCAACUUCAACUGAAUUGAACUGAAAUCAUUACUAGGUUACCAUUAAUCAGGCUGUAGGAAAAAGAAUAGGUAUAACAAAAUGAAAAGUUAGUCAGAUUUUUUUCCAGAAUGUUAGGUUACUGUGCUUAGGUUCCAUCUAAACUGCUGAAGUACUCCCCAUUUCACAUCAUUGGCAGAUGUCCCACACUUUUUCAAUAUUUGAAGUAAAAAUAAAGGGAUGAGUACUUGGGGCAUUCAUUAGAUUAAUAUUGUUGGCUAUCUAUUCCGCAUACCACGAUUAAGUGAGCUCUGCCCCAGCAGCAAACCAGUCUGGAUUAUGUUAUAGUUGAUAUGGAUGCUACCUGCUUCACUUUUAAAGUCUGUAUGCUUUUUUUGUGUGUACUUAUAUUCCUAUAACAUGAGUGGUGUCAUCUGCUGGAGGUCUCUGUGCUUCUUCCAGAGCCUCCUUCUAGGUGGGGGAACAAGAGAAUAUGGAUUGUACCUUUUCCCCCUAAAGCACAAUGAUGCUCAAAGCACAGUCGCUCUCAGUAGGCAAGCCAAAUGAAGGUAGUGAUGCUGUACACAUAAACCAGACCAGUAAUCAUGCUCUGGUUGUGUGCAAAGCUGAAGAAUGGACCAGCAUUUGCAAGAAAAUGAACCAUGUUCCCUUUGCCAUUGAACCGAUCCCUUUGCAAAGCCCUACUACAUUAAAGCAGUACUCCUACAAAAAUAAAACCAUGUUUGGUUUUAUUUGGUUUUGAAGCAUGCAGUGGAAGUUUAAUUGAAUACCUGUUCAUUUCAUCUCCCUCGCUUGAGAGAUAACUGAAUCUGACAGUCAAUUGAAUACAAGUAUAUUCAGUUUGAUACUCAAAUUUAAUACUUGCUCACUUUGACUUCAGAAGGAAUGCAGAAGUCCUUGCUUAAAGAAGAUGUCUGAGGCUCCUUAACUUGUUCCCUCCUUUGGAUAUUUCCAACCAGGACCGCUCUUAUCUCCAGCUCAAAUUUUGGAGACUCUCCUUUUGUUCCCAUGAAUAUAUUGGGCUGCCAGGAGUUAAUACAGAAACCUUCCUACUGUUAAGGCAAUAGAGAACGAUACCAGAAUUCUUACUCUAUGUUUUACUCUCUGGUAUCUUGUACCAUUAUUAAUUUGCAGCACAAGAAAGCAUAAAUAGUUGCAUAAAGAAGGCCUUUCUUGACAUGGAAAAAUGCAUCCCUCUGGUGCCCAAACAUUUUGGUAUGUGAAAUGAUUGUUCAGUUAUGAAGAAAAAAUCAGAUUUUUGGCACGCCCUGGCUUUGUAUGUCCCAAACACCGCUCAGACACCUGCACAGUGUGGUCUGCAUACAAAUAAAACUGUACACAGAAGUCUGGAAGAAAAUAUCUAAAAGCAGGACCACACUAUAGAAGCCAAGCUCCCAGAGUGUAUUUCUGCAGUAUGUCUUCAUUCAAGCAGUGAACAGCUUGAAGUCAUUGUAUUAAAGGAAAAAAUACAAAGCAGAAUUUUUUUUUUUUUUUGGUAAAUGAUGAUAGAUUCAAACCCUCUCACACAGGUGCUUUAUUUGCAUCUUUAGCAAGUUGACUGAACUUCAUGCAGAGGUAUUUUUAGCUGCACCUGUAGAUUGCUUUUCCUUUAUAAAAUAGCUACUCACAUACCUAAAAUCUUUCCCAAUGUAUCAACAUGCUGAUCAAAGCAGCACCAUACACAUAAAGAGUCACCUCACAGAGAUCCUUGCCAAUAAGCUAUCUGAAACAGAUGAUUUUGCUAAAUAAUAUGCACAAGACUUAAGGUGUCCUUUCUCUAAAACAAGGGAACCUGCAGGUGGAUAACGCAGGACUUAAACUGAUCCUAAGCAGAAGCCAGAAACAUGUGAAUGAACAAACACAUUCAUUAGUGUCCAAACCUCUUCCAAGUUUGUAAUGAUACAUUAGAGACUGCUACAGAACCACGGCCUGCUGCCCCCUGUUCACGUGUUGUGCAUCAUUUGCAGUCCAAGUGUGAGCUAAAACGCACAAAAGAAGUGCUUGAACUAAAACCAUACAUUUUUACAGACAGCAUUUUCUUAAGAUGAACUGAAAUCAAGACUAACCACCGUUCUUUUUGUUUUGUUUUUUUACAACCUUUUCCUAGUUAUUUUUCUUCUUAUCACAUACAUGGGGAUAAUUCUAAUUAAAUCUGUUUGCCUACCUAUUCACAGGUGCAUAGAAAGCUGGUUAAAACAGAGCACCUGCAAACUUUCAUUUGGAAAAUUACUCAACCUUUUUUUUUGUUAGGAAACCUGCAGUGGAUUUCAAACAAACCUGGUAGUUACAUGAAACAGUUUUGGAUACAGAAGCUUGUAACUACAGGCAGAGAAAGCAAUGAAGGCUACCCAAGUAUUUCUAUUAUAAAACGCGCACCUUCUGUUCCAGAAGCCAAACUUCAAAUACAUGUGAUUAAUUAUUUCUCUGGUAACUGUCCAACUCAGACUCUCUUUUUUUCCCCCCAAUAUACUUAAAGAUAUUAGUAAAAGUAACUGAUCUCUUGCUUAGAUUUGUACUUAGGAAGGUGAAUAUUUCACCAGAAAUAAUAAAGAAAAAUUGCAUAAGUGUGGCUUUGUGCUUCAGGGAAGGGCAAUGAUAUAAGCAGCUGUUGUUUUACCAUGUUUUGCAACAUUCAUUCUGCAUUGUCUAGGCUGUGUGCUUGAUUCUCAAAUCUAGUUUCUUAACUACAGGCUUUUUGCAUUUAACUUACACGCAAUACAUACUGGGGGGAGGGUGUGCAUUUUUAGCACAACAUUGCCUUGACCAGUAGAUCAUUUGGGAAAUACAGUAGGGAAAUGUUACAUCUUGCUGCAAGAGAAUUAGCUUUCUUCUUACUCAAAGCUCACGCAUAUUGAAUAAGAAGCCUGCUUUGUGUUCUCCUUAUGUUACUGCUAAGAUUCUCAUCUACUUUCUCACAAAUCCAUCAAGAUGGAGACCACAGUGAAACAUAUGACAUGAUAACAACAACAAAAGAAAGCAAGCAAACUCUUUUCCCUGACUCCACGCUUUUGCAGAAAGUCCAUAAAAUUGCUGUGCUGCAGAACUUUUAUCUUCAGCAGAAAAAAAGCUAAAGCUAAAGAAAAAGCACUCUACUGGUCACAGCAGUUCCACUCUUAGAGAAGCUGCAUAUUUAUAUUUACCUGCCAAGUGAAAGCACUUACUUUUGUCCACUGACAGACAUGUAGUCCAGCCCAUAACCACACAACAUUAACCCAGACCACAGAGGCAGCUGGUAAGGACAGUAAGUAUGAUAACUGCUACUAGGGAAGGUAGGGGAAAGGAACAGCUGAAGGAACAAAAGACUGAGCAAAUAAAAAGGAGAAAAGAAAACUUAGUAUUCCAGAUUGAGCCCCCUCUCCUUUCUUUUUUCUUUUCCUGCUGCUGUGGCAUCAACACUGCACACUGAUUUGCAAUUAAUCCUGCUGCUUCUUCCUCACUUUUGCAUCUGCAUUGGUUUUUACAGCUAGGUAUAUUAAUAACAGAUCCUUCUCAAAUUGUGAUGGUGGAUGAUACUUUAUUGCAAUGCAUUUGCUUAAAUGCAAAGUGCUAAAUGCAAAAUAACAAGAAUAAUACUGAUUUUGCAAAAUGAGGAAGAGAAAGUGGGUCAAGCUUAAGCAUACUCAUUGCUGAUCUGCUGAAUUGCUAAGCACCUGAAGCUAAUGGGUAGCAGAAGCAGUUGCAAUUGCUCACUGAGGUUCUCCUUGCCUUAUUAUAUCAAGUCAAUACAUGCUUAAUGAUCAGAAUCUCUCAGCUUCAAUCUUGCAGUGGUGCUUAGGGGAGGAGACUUGCAUGCUGAGGGCUUUGCUACUCUCAUAAGAAUAAACAGUAUAAAAAUGGAAGCACGAGCAAUCUGCUUUGCCUGGGGUUAUUAUUAAAACCUGGUUACAUGUAGAUUCAUACUUAUUUGGUGACGGCAACUCCCAGUCUGAAGUCACCUGUAGCAGGUGAGGAAUUCCUUGGGUGUAUCAGAUACUUCAUUUAGCUUUGGGCAGAUAACAAGAAAAAUUACAGGUUAGCUGCCUAGUUCAAAAGGGAAAAAAAAUGCAUUGCAAUUAGAGAGCCCAUUAUAAGCAGGAGACUAAUACCAGCCAAGCUGCAUUCUGGGAUCUGUUCCCAGUGCCAUCAGAUGAUGUACAGAAGAAGAUGCAACAUAGAUACAAGAAAUGAACCACAGAGUCAGCAGGGUCAUCAUUCUCUGAUCCAGUUUGGUGAAAUUCUUUGUGUCUGAAGUACCAGUGUAGCCUUCACACUACAAGGCCUUUCUCAUCCCUUGUUAGUCAUACUUCCUAUUUUCCCGAAUGAAACUCCGCCUCUUUAUAACAAACUGCACCAAAUGGCUGUAGCCUGUAUGUUCCAAAUGUGAGGUGAUGCACACUUCAUGGAUACGUUAUGUCUUCAAAAGACAGAUUUCAAUGAUGCAUUAAAUUCUGAGAAGAUGAAAAGAUAUCAUCUCGUUGUUUAACUGUAUCCAACUACCAGUGAAUUUAAUCUUUACAGUUUUAAAUUCAACAAGCAAAAUGAAGUAUUUCAUUGCUCUUUUCAACAUAGCUGCAGACGCCUUAGUGCAAUUUUGGUAGCCCUUAUGUGCAUGUUGGACUGGUUUUUAGAAAAGCCUGAAAUAAAAUCCAAACAAACAAAACAAAAAAACCCCACCAAUAUACUGGCCAUGUCAAAAGAGCUUUGGUGGUCCCUCUUCUGCAGUGUAGCUACCUAUAAGAUAUAAAGUAUUCAAGUCAAUCUCCCACUAGGGGAGGGGGGGAAAUCAGAGAGGAUUAUUUUAAAAAAGAAUUAAAAGAGCCUAAUGUCAGUAACUACGCCCAGACACUGAAAUAUCUAACAGUUCCUACAUCAUAAAUGUUGAACCUUUUCAACUGUUCAAAUUCAAAUUUGAAUUCCUUACACAGGAUGUAUCAACACUCCCAGUGAAGCUUGUGUUAUAGGAGCGGUAUGGAAUAACUUUCUUAGUGUUACUGAACUUUGGACAUGUAACAAUAUCAUUGUCUUGAGCAUAAACACCUAUCAGUCUCUAUGGAGCAUGUAUACAUUCAACUUGUUUUCUAUGUUGAUAAUAACAACUAAAUCUCAGUACUAAAGCUUGUUCUACCUGUACUAUAAUUAGCAUGGAUAUAUUGUCCUCUCUUGCAAUGUAGCAUAUACAGCAGGUACGUGAACAAAAAGAGGUGUACUGUAUAUAACAUACGUUUGAAAUAAGCACAAGAAAAUUCAAAACAUUCGGAUUCCCUUAUGACUCUAAGCAGUUAAAACAUGCGAACAUGUAAUUUAUCAUGUGACAGAUCUUAAGAUUCCAGUGGAACUUGUUGGGUAAUAUUAAAAACUGAAAUAAGUUAAAAAUAAAAUACAGUUUCCAAUUUAGCAUCAGUGUUCAAUUCUGGCAAAUGCAAUACUUCCUUCAAGUAAAAAAUAAUAAGUUGUCCAUGUAAAUUGUAAUUGCUUUCUAACGGGAAGUAAAAGAUGUUUAAUUUCUUUCUUUCAGAAGAAGAAAUUAGUCAUACACAGAACAAAAUCUAUUCAUAUGCAAAAAUUACUCAUCUAUAAAUUGCAGCUAUUUUCGAAUGCAUGCAGAGUUAGAUUACUUAUUUCCUGAAAAUAACUGUCAAGUAGUAAAGAAUGUUAAUUUCUUUCAAGUUAAUUACUUAUGCA
ensembl:lncRNA